UGGGGAAUAUUGCACAAUGGGGGAAACCCUGAUGCAGCGACGCCGCGUGGAGGAAGAAGGUCUUCGGAUUGUAAACUCCUGUUGUUGAGGAAGAUAAUGACGGUACUCAACAAGGAAGUGACGGCUAACUACGUGCCAGCAGCCGCGGUAAAACGUAGGUCACAAGCGUUGUCCGGAAUUACUGGGUGUAAAGGGAGCGCAGGCGGGAAGACAAGUUGGAAGUGAAAUCCAUGGGCUCAACCCAUGAACUGCUUUCAAAACUGUUUUUCUUGAGUAGUGCAGAGGUAGGCGGAAUUCCCGGUGUAGCGGUGGAAUGCGUAGAUAUCGGGAGGAACACCAGUGGCGAAGGCGGCCUACUGGGCACCAACUGACGCUGAGGCUCGAAAGUGUGGGUAGCAAACAGGAUUAGAUACCCUGGUAGUCCACACUGUAAACGAUGAUUACUAGGUGUUGGAGGAUUGACCCCUUCAGUGCCGCAGUUAACACAAUAAGUAAUCCACCUGGGGAGUACGACCGCAAGGUUGAAACUCAAAGGAAUUGACGGGGGCCCGCACAAGCAGUGGAGUAUGUGGUUUAAUUCGACGCAACGCGAAGAACCUUACCAAGUCUUGACAUCCAUCGACGACUAUAGAAAUAUAGUUUUCCUUCGGGACGGUGAGACAGGUGGUGCAUGGUUGUCGUCAGCUCGUGUCGUGAGAUGUUGGGUUAAGUCCCGCAACGAGCGCAACCCUUAUGGUCAGUUACUACGCAAGAGGACUCUGGCCAGACUGCCGUUGACAAAACGGAGGAAGGUGGGGAUGACGUCAAAUCAUCAUGCCCUUUAUGACUUGGGCUACACACGUACUACAAUGGCGUUAAACAAAGAGAAGCAAGACCGCGAGGUGGAGCAAAACUCAGAAACAACGUCCCAGUUCGGACUGCAGGCUGCAACUCGCCUGCACGAAGUCGGAAUUGCUAGUAAUCGCAGAUCAGCAUGCUGCGGUGAAUACGUUCCC
rnacentral:rRNA from 1 species